UCAACUUGUCAAACCAACAUGGACGGGCUUGUGAUUUUUUCGGUCAAAACCCUCCAAAUGUUUUUGACACAACAUAUUUAAAAGUGUUGAAAGAAAAAAAUUGACAGUGUGACGGGCUUUUAUAAAACCUAAAUGAUGUGGCGUAUGGUUUGUGUGUAGGUCGUAACAUAUGCACUUUAUAGUUUUAGGUGUACACAAGUGCAAUCCUCUGGACAACUCUAGUCAUUGGUUUGAAAUAUAUUAUAAUUCAUUUAUCCAUGGUACUUGGAAGUUGGAAGCUUUGUUUUGUUACACACAUGAACUAUUUUAGGUUAUAUCAUAAAUUCUUGAUCGUAAUUGGAAUGAAGAAUUUGUUGAUUUCACAAGGAAAAUAUUUUUGGCCAUUAAUUUGUGAUACACGGUGGGUUGUCAGACAGCCUAUAAUGACGUCGUCAAGCUGUGUAGAUCUGGAGAAGCUGCUUGAACCACCCUCUUCUGUUCGUGGCAUGAAGAAAUUGAAUCGUGAGUUGUUUACAAAAAAAGUUAAUAUUCCGUGGUUGGAAUUGGAAUCAUCAAAACUGGAUAAUGCUAGAAAGUACUUAAAGCCAUAUUUGCUGAAACUGCCUAAAUUCAAGAAUUUUCACUCGAUUGUAAAUGGCAGUGAUGUAAAAAGUGACACUAAGGUUUCGGGAGAGCGUGCUUACUUAAAGAGAGUUGCACUUCAACCUGUGUUAGUUAGGUCGUUCGAGUCCAUUCGAGAAAUUGACAGAGAACAUUUGAAAGACUUGAACAUCACCAAAGAAAACUUUUGUUUUAGUGAAAUAAAUUUAACAUAUGAAAACUGGAGAGCAGAUCAAAUUCUGAAUGCUGUCUUGCCAGAAGAGAAGGAAAAAGUAACGAGUUACUCUUUGGUUGGUCACAUUGUUCAUUUGAAUUUGAGAGAACAUGUCCUGGAGUAUAAAAACAUCAUUGGAGAAGUCCUGCUCGAUAAAGUUGUAAAUGCAAAAACUGUUGUUAACAAAACUGACAUGAUCGAUAAUACGUAUAGAAACUUUAAGAUGGAAUUACUGUGUGGGGAAGACUGUAUGGUAGCAGAAGUAAAAGAGAACCAUUGCACAUUUAAGUUUGAUUUCUCAGCCGUGUACUGGAACCCAAGACUGGGAACUGAGCAUGAAAGAAUUGUAAACAUGCUCAAAGAAGGAGAUGUAUUGUACGAUGUGUUUGCGGGAGUGGGGCCAUUUGCCGUUCCCGCAGCAAAAAAACGAUGUUCUGUUCUUGCAAAUGAUUUGAAUCCAGAGUGUUGUAAAUGGCUGCAACACAAUAUGAAAGUAAAUAAGGUUGACAGUUAUUUGCAGCUCUUUAAUAAAGAUGGCGCAGAGUUUAUUCGGGACAAUGUUAAAAAACACAUGCUUUUUACAUGGCAGGCUGAGAGCAAGUAUCCUGACAUUGCAAUGCAUAUUACCAUGAAUCUUCCCGCAUUGGCAGUUACUUUCCUGAAAACAUUUGUUGGUCUUUUCACACUUGAAGAGAUUGGUUCAAUAGAAAUACAGAGCUUGCCGAUCGUCCACGUGUAUUGCUUUGUAAAGGACGAAAAGCCCUUGGAUGCAGCCAGAAGAUUGGUCGAAGAUAGUGUAGGUGUUGACUUGGGCAGUGCGGUGAAGGAUGUGAUUUUGGUUAGGAAUGUGUCUGUGGGGAAAAAUAUGAUGCGUGUGACAUUUUUGCUGGAAAAAAAUCUCCUGUGUAAUGUUGGCCAGAAGCUUGGAGUCAGAACUGCCGAGGAAAAUGUGUGUGGGGAACCAAACCACAAGAAACAGUGUCUGGGAGUGAAUGCCAACUGCUGAAAAUGGGGAAGAAUAAAGGAGGCAACAAGCAUAAGCCCGUCAAGAACGUCUUCAAAGUUGCGGGUGCCAAAAGCCUGAAGAUAAAGAACAAAGCAAAGGCUGUCUCGGGUCAACUGAAAAAGUUGAACGAAGUGACUCGCAAGAAGACUGCCGAGGUGGACGGGCAGUUGGCGGCACUGCGAGAUGAAUUGCUACAGCAGACACGCCCAGUGAUGAAGAAAACGGACGUUCCAGCAGCAAAGAGAGAGGACCCAGUCACAUGUCCUGACCCUGCAGAAACUGCGGACAAACUGUGUCAAAUGAAGAUGUGAAGUGCUCAAACAAAUAACGUGUUCCAUUCCUUGGUUUCUGAUUUUGUUUGUCUGUUGUUGCAUUAUCUGAACACAUUUAAGAGGACUUGGAGAACCCUGUUCUCUCUCAUAAACUUGGAAAAAAUUAAAAACUUUUAUUGUUAAAAACUGUAAUUUUAAUUUAAUGAAUGAUGAUGGAGACUGUCAUAUUCAUAUUAAAUAAUUAUGUGUACAUUCGGGUUAGCUUUUACUACUUAGACGGUUGAUGUUAUUAUUUAUGGAAUAAAUCAAAACUCCUUGUUCA